AUCAGGGGCUCUGGAAAGAGCUUCCGGGUUGAUCUCAGGCUUACCGCUCGAGUCGCCCGUGUUGUAAAAGCCCACAAGGCAGAUCGACGAGAUUGCGACUGGAACGAAGUUGUCCUGAGGGACGGGGAAGCGCUAUCAACCGGCAUGACCGUAACAGACACUGCAUCGCCCAAGACAUCCACGAGUCAAACGGCGAAAAAUGACCCGCUC
rnacentral:ncRNA from 1 species